rnacentral:tRNA from 1 species
GUGGGCGUAGCUCAGCUCGGAUAGAGCACUUGGCUGUGGCCCAGGUUGUCGCGGGUUCAAUUCCCGUCGCCCACC